UAAAGCAAAGAUUGGUAUUUUUGUAACAUCAAAAGUUCAUUUUAUGGUAAACAGAAAAUCCAGCUUUUUGUAGUUUACUGGGACUAACAACCCCCGGACAAAUUUGGAAAAAAAUUCAGCUAAAGUGGGUGGUGCUUUAAGGCAUAAACAGACACAGCCUAGUGUGGGGCCAUAUGUAGAGGGGAUAAGCAAGGCUGUAGUAAGCGCCGUUACCGACUUGGUACUUUGUGGUUAUAGUUUUCUCCAAAUUGCGCUUGAAGAAAGUAUGAACAUGGGCAAAACUGAGGAACUCUAUCAAUCAACCAACUGGAUAUUAAAGUAUGUCACCGGAGAUUUGUUCUCCUGUCCACGCGAUGAAUCCUUGGCCCACUGCAUCAGUGAAGACUGUCGCAUGGGAGCAGGCAUAGCGGUGAUGUUCAAGAAGAAGUUUGGUCGAGUCUCAGAGUUAAAGAAGCAGAAGAAGCUGCCGGGGCAGUGUGCUGUCCUGACACAUGAUCAACGUUUCAUCUACUAGCUGAUCACAAAGAAAAAAACCCAGCCAGAAACCCACGUAUGUCAGCCUAAGACAGAGUCUGGAAGACAUGAAAUCUCACUGCUUAGAAAAUGGUGUCAAUAGAAUAUCAAUACCUCGAAUUGGCUGUGGCCUGGACCAGCUGCUGUGGUCAAAGGUGUCAAAGAUCCUGGAACAGAUCUUUAAAGAGACAAAUAUCUCCAUCGCAGUAUACAGCCUGCCCUGUGUUGGGUCAAAGCUUCAAAUGCAUGCCGUGUAGCACAUUUUCAUUGUGGGUUUUUUAGCUUUAAAUCCUUUAUAAUCUCUUAAAAUUUUGGAUGAAAUCAACACUCCUUAAACAGUUUUAAGGAAACAAUAAAUAAGGAAACAAUAAAAACCAACCCAUAAGAUGUUUAGAUACAAGACUUUUAACAUCCCACUGAUGUAAAAAAUGAUGUUUCCUGCCAUUAAAGAUACGAAACUUAUUCCAAACACUGAUGUUGCACUCUGUGAAUAUCAUAUUACAUGAUGCUACUACUAAAUCAUGCUACAUAAAGUGAUCCAACAAAGCCCCUGAGGCAGGUAAAAUACAAUAGUUAUGCCUAAAAUUUGUUUUUUUGUUUUUCUAAAUCUAUAUAGUUGUUGAAAACGUAGCUUUUCCUGUGAAUCUGUAAAUCUAAAUUGUGAAAGAGUUUGCUUCUCUAGCUUUAUUUUUCUGACCCAAAUUCAGGAGCAAGAUUGUUGUCACAAGUUUUUUUUGUCAUGAGUUUUUAGUGAUUCUGAUGCUUGACUUUUUUAGUAUUUGUAACCUGUGAAUGAUGUUGUACAGAAUAUUAAGACUUAUAUCUUUGAAAAUUGCUUUGUAAAUAAAAUUUAAGAUCAUAGUUUUUGACAACCUUUACCUGUUAAAACACCAGGCAACGGUAUGUAGGAAAAUGCCAUUUGAAAUUUUUAUAAAUUUCUUAGUUUUGCCUCAAAAUGAACUUUUGAUGUUACA